GCGUAUAUUCAUCUUUUCUCUAGGGCGCAAAUGAAGAACUAGGCACUCUCAAGACAUUCACGUUCGCCGUGUAGUCAUCACGGGGAUCCGCUGUUCCUGAUAUUCAUUAAUCUGCUUCGACGUCGGAGCGUCAUCGUGUAACAAUUUUUUGUUACGUCGUGACGUCAUGGACAGACACGAUUCAUACACAUAUAGUACGAUCUGCGACAAAUCUUUUCUCCAAGCUGCUACUCAAAAUUACGAGGGAGCAACGAAUCAACGCGGAGAUUCGAUGAAACGAGAUAGAUUCUCUCGUAAUCGCGAAGUGUCUUCAACGAGGACUCUUAAAAUCUUGAGGAAUUCAGAUGAAAAGCGCUUUAAUGAAAAGUGACGCUUUAAUCAAGGCAAAAGGCGAAAGUGUUUUACAGCGUCGAAGUAAGAAAGGGAAGCAGUGUACCAGAAAUGAAGAUGGAGUUAGACGAGGUAUGAGAAACUAUCCGAGAACAAUUGCCGGAAGAACGGGUCCACCCGGUGGAUGUGGCCAAGUGGGACGAACGAGGAUGCUGGGAGCCGGAGAAAGUUCUGCGAUGAGUAAGUGGCUGAAG